AGUGAACGCUGGCGGCAGGCCUAAUACAUGCAAGUCGAACGGCAGCACAGCAGAGCUUGCUCUGUGGGUGGCGAGUGGCGGACGGGUGAGGAAUACAUGGGAAUCUGCCCAGUCGUGGGGGAUAACGUAGGGAAACUUACGCUAAUACCGCAUGCGCCCUUCGGGGGAAAGCCGGGGACCUUCGGGCCUGGCGCGAUUGGAUGAGCCCAUGUCGGAUUAGCUAGUUGGCGGGGUAAAGGCCCACCAAGGCGACGAUCCGUAGCUGGUCUGAGAGGAUGAUCAGCCACACUGGAACUGAGACACGGUCCAGACUCCUACGGGAGGCAGCAGUAGGGAAUAUUGGACAAUGGGCGCAAGCCUGAUCCAGCCAUGCCGCGUGAGUGAAGAAGGCCCUCGGGUUGUAAAGCUCUUUUGUCCGGAAAGAAAAGCGCCGGGUUAAUACCCUGGUGUCCUGACGGUACCGGAAGAAUAAGCACCGGCUAACUUCGUGCCAGCAGCCGACGG
rnacentral:rRNA from 1 species